rnacentral:rRNA from 1 species
UGAACCGCAUGGUUCAAAAGUGAAAGACGGUCUUGCUGUCACUUAUAGCAUGGAUCCGCGCUGCAUUAGCUAGUUGGUUAAGGUAACGGCUUACCAAGGACAACCGAUGCAUAGCCGACCUGAGAGGGUGAUCGGCCACACUGGAACUGAGACACGGUCCAGACUCCUACGGGAGGCAGCAGUAGGGAAUCUUCCGCAAUGGGCGAAAGCCUGACGGAGCAACGCCGCGUGAGUGAUGAAGGUCUUCGGAUCGUAAAACUCUGUUAUUAGGGAAGAACAUAUGUGUAAGUAACUGUGCACAUCUUGACGGUACCUAAUCAGAAAGCCACGGCUAACUACGUGCCAGCAGCCGCGGUAAUACGUAGGUGGCAAGCGUUAUCCGGAAUUAUUGGGCGUAAAGCGCGCGUAGGCGGUUUUUUAAGUCUGAUGUGAAAGCCCACGGCUCAACCGUGGAGGGUCAUUGGAAACUGGAAAACUUGAGUGCAGAAGAGGAAAGUGGAAUUCCAUGUGUAGCGGUGAAAUGCGCAGAGAUAUGGAGGAACACCAGUGGCGAAGGCGACUUUCUGGUCUGUAACUGACGCUGAUGUGCGAAAGCGUGGGGAUCAAACAGGAUUAGAUACCCUGGUAGUCCACGCCGUAAACGAUGAGUGCUCAAGUGUUAGGGGUUUCCGCCCCUUAGUGCUGCAGCUAACGCAUUAAGCACUCCG